AUUGAACGCUGGCGGCAGGCCUAACACAUGCAAGUCGAGCGAGCGGCGGACGGGUGAGUAAUGUCUGGGAAACUGCCUGAUGGCUGGGGAUAACUACUGGAAACGGUAGCUAAUACAGCAUACCAUCAGAUGUGCCCCGAUGGGAGUAGAUAGUAGGUGGGGUAACGGCUCAACUAGGCGAGGAUCCAUAGCUGGUCUGAUCGGAUGACCAGCCACACUGUGACUGAGACACGGCCCAUACUCCUACGGGAGGCAGCAGUGGGGAAUAUUGCACAAUGGGCGAAAGUCUGAUGCAGCCAUGCCGCGUGUGUGAAGAAGGCCUUCGGGUUGUAAAGCACUUUCAGCGGGGAGGCGUUACCCGCAGAAGAAGCAACGGCUAACUACGUGCCAGCAGCCGCGGUAAUAC
rnacentral:rRNA from 1 species